AUACUUACCUGCAAGAGGAGAAAACUGUUGAUAAGAAGGCGUUUCACCCAGGGUGGUCAGCUUGCCUCGGCUGUUGCUGACCUGACGAAUUUCCAAAUGUGGGAAAAUCAGAUUGAUUCAAUUUAUGGUAGUGCGGGACUGCGUUCGCGCUUCCUGCA
ensembl:snRNA U1 U1 spliceosomal RNA